GCCAAAUGAUGUGAAAUGAAUGGCAUUAGAGCUCUGCAAAGAUGACCUUCAUCUACCACCCCAUACUGAUGGCU